rnacentral:rRNA from 1 species
GAUGAACGCUGGCGGCGUGCCUAAUACAUGCAAGUCGAGCGAACGGACGAGAAGCUUGCUCCUCUGAUGUUAGCGGCGGACGGGUGAGUAACACGUGGAUAACCUACCUAUAAGACUGGGAUAACUUCGGGAAACCGGAGCUAAUACCGGAUAAUAUUUUGAACCGCAUGGUUCAAUAGUGAAAGACGGUCUUGCUGUCACUUAUAGAUGGAUCCGCGCUGCAUUAGCUAGUUGGUAAGGUAACGGCUUACCAAGGCAACGAUGCAUAGCCGACCUGAGAGGGUGAUCGGCCACACUGGAACUGAGACACGGUCCAGACUCCUACGGGAGGCAGCAGUAGGGAAUCUUCCGCAAUGGGCGAAAGCCUGACGGAGCAACGCCGCGUGAGUGAUGAAGGUCUUCGGAUCGUAAAACUCUGUUAUUAGGGAAGAACAAAUGUGUAAGUAACUAUGCACAUCUUGACGGUACCUAAUCAGAAAGCCACGGCUAACUACGUG